rnacentral:rRNA from 1 species
UACGAAGGGGGCUAGCGUUGCUCGGAAUCACUGGGCGUAAAGCGCACGUAGGCGGCUUUCUAAGUCAGGGGUGAAAUCCUGGAGCUCAACUCCAGAGCUGCCUUUGAUACUGGAGAGCUUGAGUCCGGAAGAGGUGAGUGGAACUCCGAGUGUAGAGGUGAAAUUCGUAGAUAUUCGGAAGAACACCAGUGGCGAAGGCGGCUCACUGGUCCGGUACUGACGCUGAGACGCGAAAGCGUGGGGAGCGAACAGG